rnacentral:rRNA from 1 species
AAUUUUCGGCAAUGGGGGCAACCCUGACCGAGCGACGCCGCGUGAGUGAAGAAGGUCUUCGGAUUGUAAAACUCUGUUGUUAGGGAAGAACAAGUAUCGUUCGAAUAGGGCGGUACCUUGACGGUACCUAACCAGAAAGCCACGGCUAACUACGUGCCAGCAGCCGCGGUAAUACGUAGGUGGCAAGCGUUAUCCGGAAUUAUUGGGCGUAAAGCGCGCGCAGGCGGUUUCUUAAGUCUGAUGUGAAAGCCCACGGCUCAACCGUGGAGGGUCAUUGGAAACUGGGAAGCUUGAGUGCAGAAGAGGAGAGUGGAAUUCCAUGUGUAGCGGUGAAAUGCGUAGAGAUAGGAAGGAACACCAGUGGCGAAGGCGACUACCUGGACUGAUACUGACACUGAGGUGCGAAAGCGUGGGGAGCAAAC